rnacentral:misc_RNA from 1 species
CCAAUAGCGUAUAUUAAAGUUGUUGCAGUUAAAAAGCUCGUAGUUGAAUUUCGGAAUCAAUAUAUCGGUCGUGCCUCUGGUACGCACUUAUUUAUUGAUUUCUCACUUCUGACGAAUCAUAAUGUCAUUAGUUUGGUGUUAUGAGGAAUCAGGACUGUUACUUUGAAAAAAUUAGGGUGUUUAAAGCAGGCUCGCGCUUGAAUACAUUAGCAUGGAAAAAUGAAAUAGGAUGUUUGAUCUUAUUUUGUUGGUUUCUAGGAUCGACAUAAUGAUUAAUAGGGAUAGUUGGGGGCAUUAGUAUUCAAUUGUCAGAGGUGAAAUUCUUGGAUUUAUUGAAGACUAACUACUGCGAAAGCAUUUGCCAAGGAUGUUUUCAUUAAUCAAGAACGAAAGUCAGAGGUUCGAAGACGAUCAGAUACCGUCGUAGUUCUGACCAUAAACGAUGUCGACUAGCGAUCCGCGGACGUUGUUCAUAUGACCUCGCGGGCAGCCUUCG